rnacentral:rRNA from 1 species
GGAUGAGCCCGCGGCCUAUCAGCUUGUUGGUGGGGUAAUGGCCUACCAAGGCGUCGACGGGUAGCGGCCUGAGAGGGUGAUCGGCCACAUUGGGACUGAGACACGGCCCAGACUCCUACGGGAGGCAGCAGUGGGGAAUAUUGCACAAUGGGCGCAAGCCUGAUGCAGCGACGCCGCGUGGGGGAUGACGGCCUUCGGGUUGUAAACUCCUUUCAACAGGGACGAAGCUAACGUGACGGUACCUGUAGAAGAAGCACCGGCUAACUACGUGCCAGCAGCCGCGGCC